AUUGAACGCUGGCGGCAGGCCUAACACAUGCAAGUCGAGCGGAUGAAGGGAGCUUGCUCCUGGAUUCAGCGGCGGACGGGUGAGUAAUGCCUAGGAAUCUGCCUGGUAGUGGGGGAUAACGUCCGGAAACGGGCGCUAAUACCGCAUACGUCCUGAUGGAGAAAGUGGGGGAUGUUCGGACCUCACGCUAUCAGAUGAGCCUAGGUCGGAUUAGCUAGUGGGUGGGGUAAAGGCCUACCAAGGCGACGAUCCGUAACUGGUCUGAGAGGAUGAUCAGUCACACUGGAACUGAGACACGGUCCAGACUCCUACGGGAGGCAGCAGUGGGGAAUAUUGGACAAUGGGCGAAAGCCUGAUCCAGCCAUGCCGCGUGUGUGAAGAAGGUCUUCGGAUUGUAAAGCACUUUAAGUUGGGAGGAAGGGCAGUAAGUUAAUACCUUGCUGUUUUGACGUUACCAACAGAAUAAGCACCGGCUAACCUCGUG
rnacentral:rRNA from 1 species